rnacentral:lncRNA from 1 species
UUGAUGAACACAUAAUACCCACCCUAUAGUCAGAGAAAGACAAUGCCUGCUAUGUUAAUCCCGUGGCUAUUAUAGUCAGUCAUCUCAUGAGCCAGGAUCCAGGCUGGGGCACAGCGGGCAGGACACUGACCCUUCUUGGAGGCCAGGAAGAGGCCUUGUGAGCAGCAGGAGGUAAGGGGGCUCCUCCAUGCUCGCUCCCCGUUUGGGGAGAGAAAGCGUCGGUGGGCAGGAGUGCCCUACCCUGCUCCCCAGGGCCCCCAGGCAAAGCCCCUGCCCUGUGGAUGCUGACAUUCUGCUGCCUAAGAGGGGCGGCCUCCAUCCUGUUCUGGGUACAUCAACUUCAGGAAGCCCCACACUGGAAGACUGCCAGGGAACAAGGACGAGGCCUGGGAAGGUCUUUACUGAGCACCCAUCCGGCACCGGCCUGAUGAUCCAGCAUCUCCAACACAGCAGGAAAUAGUGAGGAGAUACAAGGCCCUGUCCAGGGCCCUGCUGAGUUCUGCC